CACCGCGGUUAGACGAAUAGGCUCUAGUUGAUAAUACAACGGCGUAAAGGGUGGUUAAGUAAAUAACUAAAUAAUUAAAUAAAGCUAAAUGACCCCUCGGCCGUCGUACGCUUCUAGCUGUCUGAGACCCUAAUACGAAAGUAGCUUUAAAUACAUCUGACCCCACGAAAGCUGACAAA
rnacentral:rRNA from 1 species